CACAUGGGUCUGGUUUCUUCCUCUCUUUAUGAGGAUGAAAGUAAAGUCUCUUUUGGGUUGAUAUGAGAAUGACAGGAGUUAGCAUAGAUAAGUGAUAACUGAUAUAUAUUGGUUUGAUUUACUGGCUUUCUAACUUUGCAGUUGUGUGUAAAUAAGCAGAGUUUAUAUAGUGGAAGCAGGUAAAAUGUAGAACUUUCUUCAGGCUAGUGAGAAGCAGGCAGAAGACCACAGCAGACUGGGUAGAAAAGCUGCCACAUUUGGUAAGCGAGUUUCCUGCCCUUCACGAAGUGAAUAACUUUGUUCUCCAUACCCUUGCUGCGUGAUGGUCUGCUGAAAUGCACGGGUCUCUAUACACGUGAACCGAACGCUCUGAAGGCCAGAAGCAAAUUAAAGAGUUCCUCUCUUUAAGCCGAC
rnacentral:lncRNA from 1 species